CUGAAGUUAGAACAAAAGUCCAGAGAGUGGUUUCUAUGGAGAUGAUACACUCGUCUCGUCUGAUUGGUGGAAACUGGCAGCUUUCAGACCGCUGCAGACCGGAGACUACGAAGGAAACUAAAGUUAAA